UCUAGUGGGAGUGUGAGUCAAGAGAGGAUAUGUUGAGGAUAGAGGUCCCCCAAGGACCCCUUUUAUAGGGUCUUGGGGGACGUUUCCUCAUUCAAUCGAGUGGGGCCCGCGCCAUUAAGGUACCCCUAAUAAGGAAUGCCUUAAUGGCGAAGGUCCGCUCAAGUAACGGCUGGGAAUCGGCGAUUCAGGUAUGGGAAUCGCCGAUCCAGAGGUUCAAUCGCCGACUCCCGUAUGAGCCUAGUGGCAGCCUACCAAAGCUGUCCACGAGGCGUAGAGUUGGCGAUUCCCCUCUGGAAUCGGCGACUUGGUAGUCCCAAUCGGCGACUCCCAAGUGUUAACUUGAGCUCUUGACGUAGACACGUGCUCCGCACCGUGGAAGCCUUUCCGGGGGUCCGGCAUAUAGCGACGGAACCCUAUUCCUUGUUUGAAGGGCGUUGCUGGGAGUGACUGACGUAAUCAGGCAUGUCUCACCAGUACUCCCCCCUGAAGAGAGUAUGGCUGAACACCCGUGUACCGCCAGUAUCCCCCCCCCAAGCAAGGUGAUCCGCAUCAAGGCCAAAGCGACAAGAUGGGAUCGAGUCAAAGUGGCCACAGCGACACGAUGACUCCGUUACCCAUGCACUAUCAGAUGGGUUGAUUCACUAUUAGAAUCUAGUUCCAGGCCAGUAGAACUACGUGUUUAUAGUCCGACUCUGAUCAGGAGCGACUCUUUCUGUGUUAUCAUCAAGGCCAAAGCGACAAGAUGAAAGGAUGUUAUUAAGGCCAAAGCGACAAAAUAACUCCCAUCCAUUAAGGCCAAAGCGACAAAAUGGAGCGACUCACUAUCAGAGUCUGAUUCUGGCCCAAGCGACAGAAUGCGUGGAUCCUGGCCAAAGCGACAGGAUCUGGUUCACUAUCAGAACCCAUGUUUAUAGUCCACCCUGAUCAAGAGCGACUUUACGUCCGCAACGACGGUUACCCCACUAAGGCCAAAGCGACAAAGUGGGUCGAGAUCAUUAAGGCCAAAGCGACAAAAUGAUCUCCAAGUCUAUCAAGGCCAAAGCGACAAGAUAGAAGAAUUAUUGAGGCCAAAGCGACAAAAUAAUUCUUUGGUCCAUUGAGGCCAUAGCGACAAAAUGGGCCGACUCGUUUAGAGUCUGAUUCUGGCCGAAGCGACAGAAUGCGUGGAUCCUGGCCAAAGCGACAGGAUCGUUCCUGCAAAACAAAAAAUAACCUGCAAAACAAUUGUAUCAGUCUAAAGGAUAUAUUUAUUGACUUACUAACCUUGCCGUGAGGGGCUGCUUCUUGUGCCGCUCCUUCCCAUGCUCAAUAACUCCUCGAUUGAUCUGGCCGAAGCGACAGAUCUAUUGUGCUCAAUGUUUGACAUCUUCUGGCCAAAGCGACAGAAGUGUCAGGAAGAGUUUGUGAUACUCCCCCCCGAGUUUGACGACUUCUGGCCGAAGCGACAGAAGUGUCAGGAAGAGCUUGUGAUACUCCCCCCCGAAUUUGACGACUUCUGGCCGAAGCGACAGAAGUGUCAGGAAGAACUUGGGAUUCUCCCCCUUGAGAUCAUUAAGGCCGAAGCGUCAAAAUGACCUUUGGUCUACUAAGGCCAAAGCGACAAAGUAGACCGACUCACUAUCAGAGUUUGAUUCUGACCAGAGCUACAGAUCCACUAUCAGGAUCCGAUCCUCGCCUUGGAUGCAGAACCUGUUGAUUCAUUAAUAGAAUCUAACUCCUGUCGGGGCUACGAAUUCACUAUUAGAAUCCGAUCCCAACCCGGACUACGGAGUCUAACCUGCAAAAAAGGAAAACACUCUGCAAAACAACUAGAUUAGUCCAUAAACGCAUAUAUUAAUUAUUGAACUUACCUGCGAUU
rnacentral:lncRNA from 1 species